UGCCUUAAAGUGUUACCUGUUCAUUACUGAUUAGAUGAAUGUGGUGUCAAAUAAGGCAUACAUUAAAACAUGAUGUGGCUGCUGAAAGGUGUUUACUCCCAUGCCUUUCAAAAGUUCCAUGUUAUGGACAUUA